UACGGAGGGUGCAAGCGUUGCUCGGAAUCACUGGGCGUAAAGGGUGCGUAGGCGGCUGUGCAAGUCUGGCGUGAAAGCCCCGGGCUCAGCCCGGGAAGUGCGCUCGAAACUGCACGGCUCGAGUGCCGGAGGGGAGAGUGGAAUUCCUGGUGUAGCGGUGAAAUGCGUAGAUAUCAGGAGGAAUACCGGUGGCGAAAGCGACUCUCUGGACGGCAACUGACGCUGAGGCACGAAAGCGUGGGGAGCAAACAGG
rnacentral:rRNA from 1 species